rnacentral:rRNA from 1 species
CAGCCGCCGCGGUAAUACCAACCCCGCGAGUGGUCGGGACGUUUAUUGGGCCUAAAGCGUCCGUAGCCGGCCCGGUAAGUCCCUCCUUAAAGCCCACGGCUCUACCGUGGGAGCGGAGGGAUACUGCCGGGCUAGGGGGCGGGAGAGGCCGGGGGUACUCCUGGGGUAGGGGCGAAAUCCUAUAAUCCCAGGAGGACCACCAGUGGCGAAGGCGCCCGGCUAGCACGCGCCCGACGGUGAGGGACGAAAGCUGGGGGAGCAAAGGGGAUUAGAUACCCCCGUAGUCCCAGCUGUAAACGAUGCAGGCUAGGUGUUAGGCGGGCUUCGUGCCCGCCGAGUGCCGUAGGGAAGCCGUUAAGCCUGCCGCCUGGGGAGUACGGCCGCAAGGCUGAAGCUUAAAGGAAUUGCGGG